AACCCCGGAGAAUUCCAUUUGUUUGGAUGCCGAAGGUGCAAACAGGGUUACCUGCUAAUCUCUCAGGCAAAAGGACGGGGCAAA
rnacentral:ncRNA from 1 species